rnacentral:tRNA from 3 species
CGCGGGUGGAGCAGUUCGGUAGCUCGUCGGGCUCAUAACCCGAAGGUCGCAGGUUCAAAUCCUGCCCCCGCAACCA